UGGGGAAUAUUGGACAAUGGGCGCAAGCCUGAUCCAGCAAUGCCGCGUGCAGGAUGAAGGCCUUCGGGUUGUAAACUGCUUUUGUACGGAGCGAAAAGGUCUGCCCUAAUACGGUGGGCUCAUGACGGUACCGUAAGAAUAAGCACCGGCUAACUACGUGCCAGCAGCCGCGGCAAUACGUAGGGUGCAAGCGUUAAUCGGAAUUACUGGGCGUAAAGCGUGCGCAGGCGGUUAUGCAAGACAGAGGUGAAAUCCCCGGGCUCAACCUGGGAACUGCCUUUGUGACUGGAUAGCUAGAGUACGGUAGAGGGGGAUGGAAUUCCGCGUGUAGCAGUGAAAUGCAUAGAUAUGCGGAGGAACACCGAUGGCGAAAGCAAUCCCCUGGACCUGUACUGACGCUCAUGCACGAAAGCGUGGGGAGCAAACA
rnacentral:rRNA from 1 species